CUCCUCAUCAAAAACAUGACUCUGAUCUCCGUCCUCAUCUGGACUCUCCUCUGCUUCACUCAGGGGUCUGUUGGACAAAAUGUUGUCUUGACUCAGCCAGCAGCCAAAUCAGUGCAGCUGGGUCAAACUGUUUCUGUUGACUGUAAGGCCAAUCCAACAGUUACUCAAUACUCUGGUUCACAGUACCUCCUGGCCUGGUACCAUCAGAAAACUGGAGAAGCUCCUAAACUUCUGAUCAAACGGACAUCAGAAAGAGUUUCUACAAUCUCUAGGUACAGUGGAAGUGGAGCAGGGAACGGAGUUGACUUCACUCUGACCAUCAGUGGAUUUGAUGCUGCAGAUGCAGGAGUUUAUUACUGUCAGAGUCAUCAUGCUAUCAACAGUCAGGCUGUGUUCACACAGUGAUACAAAGUCGUACAAAAACCUCCCUCAGCUGGAGAGGAACUGAUCUGACUCAACAGCUGCACUGAAACUAAAACAACAGAAGCUUUACUAAACUAAAAUAUAUUUAAUAAUAAUUGC